AGUGAACGCUGGCGGUAGGCCUAACACAUGCAAGUCGAACGGCAGCACAGAGGAGCUUGCUCCUUGGGUGGCGAGUGGCGGACGGGUGAGGAAUACAUCGGAAUCUACUCUGUCGUGGGGGAUAACGUAGGGAAACUUACGCUAAUACCGCAUACGACCUACGGGUGAAAGCAGGGGACCUUCGGGCCUUGCGCGAUUGAAUGAGCCGAUGUCAGAUUAGCUAGUUGGCGGGGUAAAGGCCCACCAAGGCGACGAUCCGUAGCUGGUCUGAGAGGAUGAUCAGCCACACUGGAACUGAGACACGGUCCAGACCCUUACGGGAGGCAGCAGUGGGGAAUAUUGGACAAUGGGCGCAAGCCUGAUCCAGCCAUACCGCGUGGGUGAAGAAGGCCUUCGGGUUGUAAAGCCCUUUUGUUGGGAAAGAAAUCCAGCUGGCUAAUACCCGGUUGGGAUGACGGUACCCAAAGAAUAAGCACCGGCUAACUUCGUGCCAGCCGCCGCCGCAG
rnacentral:rRNA from 1 species